GGUCACUUCGCAUGUCAUUAUCAUAGUCGGUUUUUGGUGUGGAAAUCAUGUUAACGCUGUUACAGCUUUAACUCUGUUGAACUAUAUGUUUGGCGGCAACAUUGGAAAAGGAAACAAUUUAUACAUUCGUCGCAACACCCCAACAACAGAAACUUCAGAAUGAGUGUGGGGUUCAUCGGAGCGGGUCAGUUGGCCCAUGCCUUGGUGAAGGGAUUCAGCGCUGCAGGUGUCAUUGCCACACAGAGGAUCACUGCCAGCUCCCAGACACAGAUCUUCCC